CAGUAGCCGCGGUAAUACGAAGGGGGCUAGCGUUGCUCGGAAUGACUGGGCGUAAAGGGCGCGUAGGCGGCGAUCAAAGUCAGGCGUGAAAUUCCUGGGCUCAACCUGGGGGAUGCGCUUGAUACUUGGUUGCUUGAGUGGGGAAGAGGGUCGUGGAAUUCCCAGUGUAGAGGUGAAAUUCGUAGAUAUUGGGAAGAACACCGGUGGCGAAGGCGGCGACCUGGUCCUUGACUGACGCUGAGGCGCGAAAGCGUGGGGAGCAAACAGGAUUAGAUACCCCGGUAGUCCCUGUCUCUUAUAA
rnacentral:rRNA from 1 species